GUAAAACUGUUCCUUCAGGCGGCAGUGGAGGGAAGCAGCAGUCGACUUUUGGUGGCGAGAGAGCGGGGCUCAGCGGUUAUCCUUCUCUCCAUGAAGAAAAUGGCCCCCCUCCCCGACUGAUGCCGGCACCAGACCCUACUGCUGUGCCACCCUCGAUCUGCACCCCUCCGCUCCUCCUGGAGUCACUGCCGCCGUCGCCCGUGGCCUGUCUGUGCUGCUAUCCAGGGGACUCCCUCCCUCCCCCGGAGAGCUCUGGGGCUCCAUGGGAAACUCAGAGGUCUGGACGUGUGAGAGUGAGGCCUGGGCCUGCUCCAGACCACCCCCCUCCCCCCGUGACGAC